rnacentral:lncRNA from 1 species
AUGUGUGUGAGUCAUGUUCAUUGUGUGUGUGGGAGAGAGAGGCAUGUUUUCAACUCAGAUAAAAAGCACAUCAUUUCCUCAAACUGUAAACAUGAAGCCUUUAAAAUGCAGCAAAACAUGAAAUUAACAAGUCAUUACAACGUAUUUACAUUGUGGAUAAUGUGUGUUGUGUUUUAUGUUUCCUUGUCAGCCACCCAUCUCUGCUUUGUCAGUCUAGAAAGGCCCAGUGUCUUCUGGGUGAGGCUGUCAGGCAGAUCUGAAAGAGAGACACACAAAGUGACAGUACGUAUACAGGUCAACAACAUGUCUGUGUACAUCUGUUGGUGUGACUGAGCAUAUAAAACAGAAUUCUGAAUUACAAUUUUACAGAUUAUUAUAAAGUUGACUCAUCAGUAUGCUGCUCUCUCGGGAAAUAGAGUGAGGCACCCAGAUAUGAGGCUAGCGCCAUUAGCAUUAGCUAGCUAGCAGAGACAGCAUGUUAACUAUGAAAGGAUCGAUCCAGCAACAAUGUCGAGGUCAAAAACGAAAGGAACAAUCAAUCAAAGAAGCAAAAUGUCGGUAUAGGGAAAAAAUUAAGUUGCAAUUCAACGGCCCAGACAGGAGACGUAUGUGGCAGGGUCUUCAGGCCAUCACGGAUUACAAAAAGAAAACCAGCCACAUCACAGACACUGACAUCUUGAGACACCGACAUCUUGAGACACCGACAUCUUGAGACACCGACAUCUUGAGACACCGACGUCUUGAGACACCGACAUCUUGCCACCAGACAAGCUAAACACCUUCUUCGCCCGCUUUGAGGAUAUACAAUGCCACCGACACGGCUCGUUACCAAGGACUCCGGGUCCCCCCUCUCCUUCUCUGUGGCCGACGUGAGUAAGACAUUUAAACGUGUUAACCCUCGCAGGGCUGCUGGCCUAGACGGCAUCCCUAGCCGGGUCCUCAGAGCAUGUGUAACAGUAUAAUUUUAAACCGUCCCCUCGCCCAUACCCGGGCGCGAACCAGGGACCUUCUGCACACAUCAACAGUCACCCUCGAAGCAUCGUUACCCAUCGCUCCACAAAAGCCGCGGCCCUUGCAGAGCAAGGGGAACUACUACUUCAAGGUCUCAGAGCAAGUGACGUCACUGAUUGAAACGCUAUUUAGCGCCCACGCUAACUAAGCUAGCCGUUUCACAUCCGUUACACAUGAGCAGACCAGCUGGCUGGGGCGUUUACGGACAUAUUCAAUCUCUCCCUAUCCCAGUCUGCUGUCCCCACGUGCUUCAAGAUGGCCACCAUUGUUCCUGUUCCCAAGAAAGCUAAGGUAACUGAACUAAAUGACUAUCGCCCCGUAGCACUCACUUCCGUCAUCAUGAAGUGCUUUGAGAGACUAGAUCAUUUCACCUCCACCUUACCUGACACCCUAGACCCACUUCAGUUUGCAGAUCGCCCCAACAGGUCCACAGACGAUGCAAUCGUCAUCACACUGCACACUGCCCUAUCCCAUCAGGACAAGAGGAAUACCCAUGUAAGACUGCUGUUCAUUGACUACAGCUCAGCCUUCAACACCAUAGUACCCUCCAAGCUCAUCACUAAGCCCACCUCCUGAACCCCACCUCUCACUCAACGUCAACAAAGCAAAGGAGAUGAUCGUGGACUUCAGGAAACAGCACAGAGGCGGUAGGGUAGCCUAGUGGGGUGGCAGGGUAGCCUAGUGUUGGACUAGAGUGUUGGACUAGUAACUGGAAGGUUGCAAGUUCAAAACCCCGAGCUGACAAGGUACAAAUCUGUCGUUCUACCCCUGAACAGGCAGUUAACCCACUGUUCCUAGGCCGUCAUUGAAAAUAAGAAUUUGUUCUUAACUGACUUGCCUGGUUAAAUAAAGGUAAAAUAAAGGUUAAUCGAUGGGACAGUAGCGGAGAAAGUUCCUCGGCGUCACAACAUCACGGACAAACUGAAAUGGUCCACUGAAGAAAUUUGGCUUGUCACCUAAAACCCUCAAAAUCUUUACAGAUGCACAAUCGAGAGCAUCCUGUCGGGCUGUAUCACCACCUGGUACGGCAACUGGACCGCUCUCAACCAUAAGGCUCUCCAGAGCGUAGUGAGGUCUGCACAACGCAUCACCGGGGGCAAACUACCUGCCCUCCAGGACACCUACACCACCCGAUGUCACAGGGAGGCCAUAAAGAUCAUCAAGUACAACAACCACCCGAGCCACUGCCUGUUCACCCCGCUAUCAUCCAGAAGGCGAGAUCAAUACAGGUGCAUCAAAGCAGGGACCGAGAGAAUGAAAAACAACUUAUAUCUCAAGGCCAUUAGACUGUUAAACAGCCAUCACUAACAUAGAGAGGCUGCUGUCAACAUACAGACUCAAAUCUCUGGCCACUUUAAUAAAUGGAUUUAAUAAAGGUUUCACUAGUCACUUUAAUAAUGUUUACAUACCCUACAUUACUCAUCUCAUAUGUAUAUACUGUACUCUAUACCAUCUACUGCAUCUUGUUUACAUACCCUACAUUACUCAUCUCAUAUGUAUAGACUGUACUCUAUACCAUCUACUGCAUCUUGCCCAUGCCGUUCGGCCAAUGCUCAUCCAUAUAUUUAUAUGUACAUAUGGGACAGUAGCGGCAUCUCUACAUUUGUGUGUUAGGUAGUUGCUGAGAAAUUGUUUGAUUACUUGUCAGAUAUUACUGCACUGUCGGAACUAGAAGCACAAGCAUUUGGCUACACUCACAUUAACAUCUGAUACCAUGUGUAUGUGACCAGUAAAAUAAUAAGUAAAGAUAUAUAUUGACUGACUUCGGUCUAUGGUGGAAAAAUGGCUGUUAUGUUUAUCUAGUGUAUCUACGUACUUAACUAAAGUCACAUGAUGUUCUGAUGAGACUUGCUCCCUCUGCUAGAACACUUCCCCUUUGUCUACAUGACUGACUCAUGGUUCCAUAUCCUGUUAUUUAGCAGUAGACUGAACUAAACUGUGAGAGACGAGCAGGACAAAUGGUUGUGGUUCUCUUGAGAAACAGUGUUGAGACAUUGAGCUCUGAGAAAUGGUGUGACAUUUCUCAACAAGACCUCACCACAAAAGUCACAAUGUGGAAAGAUGAACAUUUCUUUACAGAGGAGAUUAUAUAUCAUUUAAUUUAUUAGCUUACAUCAAUUUUUGUUUAUCUCAAUCCCUCAGUUCCAUAGGUCACGGUCAAGCUGAGCUGAGCCAAUAGUGGAAGAGGUUACUGGUUGACUGUUGACUAUAUUCAGUUGACUGUAUGUUACUAUGUCAGCCCUCUGUCUUUUAACACCUCACUCCCUUUCUCUCACCCCCCCCCCCUCUCUUGUUCUCUCUCUUCCUACCAUGUAGCAUCAGGCCUGUUGAUCUUGACUCAAGUAACAGACCUCUAGCAUCUACACCCCUCCCUUCUCCUGCUCUAACAUAAGACCAAUAUGAAAUAUAAUAUAUACUCUCUUUUACAUAGAGACAGAUACAAUCAAUCAUUGACACACUGAAUAUACAACAGUCAGAUGCAUGACAUCAUCACCAAUGUUCCCUCUAACUUUCUCCGUCACUGAGCAGAUUUCAGGUCUUCCAGUGUGUGUUUACUGUGAACACUGAGGCUGUACCCCCUUUAACUUACAGUUCUAACAGUGUGUGUUUACUGUGAACACUGAGGCUGUACCCCCUUUAACUUACAGUUCUAACAGUGUGUGUUUACUGUGAACACUGAGGCUGUACCCCCUUUAACUUACAGUUCUAACAGUGUGUGUUUACUGUGAACACACAGGCUGUACCCCCUUUAACUUACAGUUCUAACAGUGUGUGUUUACUGUGAACACUGAGGCUGUACCCCCUUUAACUUACAGUUCUAACAGUGUGUGUUUACUGUGAACACUGAGGCUGUACCCCCUUUAACUUACAGUUCUAACAGUGUGUGUUUACUGUGAACACUGAGGCUGUACCCCCUUUAAGUUACAGUUCUAACAGUGUGUGUUUACUGUGAACACUGAGGCUGUACCCCCUUUAAGUUACAGUUCUAACAGUGUGUGUUUACUGUGAACACUGAGGCUGUACCCCCUUUAACUUACAGUUCUAACAGUGUGUGUUUACUGUGAACACUGAGGCUGUACCCCCUUUAACUUACAGUUCUAACAGUGUGUGUUUACUGUGAACACUGAGGCUGUACCCCCUUUAACUUACAGUUCUAACAGUGUGUGUUUACUGUGAACACUGAGGCUGUACCCCCUUUAACUUACAGUUCUAACAGUGUGUGUUUACUGUGAACACUGAGGCUGUACCCCCUUUAACUUACAGUUCUAACAGUGUGUGUUUACUGUGAACACUGAGGCUGUACCCCCUUUAACUUACGGUUAACAGUGGACAAGUGGGCUACUGUGGCUAUUUGAUCAUAAUGUAGAUCUACCAGAGUGACCUACCAUCAAAAACUAUGGAGAAAA